rnacentral:lncRNA from 1 species
GGAGAACAGACUGGAGCAAGAGUGUCCUGAUUCAGAGCAAGGAGCCCGGUAUGAAGGCAAUUGGAGCAAUCCAGGCAAGAAGUGAUGAGGUUAUGAACUAAACCGGUGACAGGAGGAACGGCGAGAAGGAAGCAUACAACAGCAACAAGAAACAUCAUAAAAGAGCUCACAUUUACGAAGCCACUUACUAACGACAAAGCAUUGCGUGAAGCGCUUUCUGUGUAUUAAUUCAUUUAAUCUUCCCAACAAGCCUGAGACAGUUGCCCUACGGAACAGAACAUGUACCAUCAUUUGGAGCCAGCGUUUAACAACAGCAGCACACUUGGCCUGGCCUGCAGCCUCAGACAGACCCCCGCGAAGAAAGCGGCCCAGGCGGGGAGACCUUCAAACAGCCAAAUGGCUUUCUUUCUCCAGUCAUGAAAGUUAAAGCAAGCAUCUGCAGCAAGAAACUUGUGUAUUUCCUGCGGACAGGGAGACCUCCUGCCCCUCCCGGGCUGAUACAACCCACUUUGCACAUCCUGCUUCUCUGGGAGCUAAAAAUAAAUCGGUAUGCACUGAAAAACACUCAAACACAUCUCCCCAGCACACCCCUUCCCGAGUCCCCGAGGGCAAGAGACACAAAUCUUUCAGGUCCCGAGUCCAAAACGCAGACCACUUCUUCCUCUGGAUUCAACUAGCGCCUUGCAGUCGCUCCAAAAGCCCCUCUCCGGGCGCCCACCCCUCGCACACGCCUCCUGCGGCCUCUCAGUGCGGACGCCGCAGGCGCGGGAAGCAGCGAGUGCCCUCGACUCCGACCCCCCACCUCACACCUCGCCCCUCACCCCAGGGAGGGAUGCUAGAGGUCCCGGGCCACCAGGCGCACGGACGCCCCCUUCCGACCCAGCGCGCCCCCAUCCUGCCUGCUCCGCUCGCCUCUGCGCGUCUCUCUGCAAAGUUGCUCUCUCCUUUCCUGCCACCCACCCUCAGGGUCUUUGGUUUUGUUUUAUUUUCCCUCAGAGGCACUGAAGGACGGACAGAGGAAGUGACAGGGGAGCUGCACCCGGGAAAGGCUGCAAGGAGCAGGUCCCUAGAAGCGCGCGCUCCUCGCGCCCACCCUGAGCCCGCCGCGCCCGAAGCGCGCGGGUCCCCCCAGCAGCCGCUCCCGGCGCCGCCGCCCCCAGCACGCCCGCCCCGGCUGCCGCUCCGACUCCGCUCCGGCUCCGGAAAAGCGGAGGGAAGGCGCUGCGACUCACCGCCUCGGCCGCUCCCGGCGUCUGUGUCGCCGCGGGUGAGGCGGCGGCAGUGGCGGCAGCGGCGGCAGUGGCGGCAGCGGCGCUUCCCUCCGCCCGCCUCCCCCUGGACCGCACCGCGCCCGCCGCGCCCCCCGCCCCAGCCUCGCUCGCCGCCUCCCUCCUCCGGCCGCCGACCCUCCUCCCCACUGCGGCCCCGCGGGCAGCCUCUCCCUGGUGGGCUGGACCGCCGGGGUGCAGGGGGGCCAAACUGAGAGCCUUCUGUGGAUCGUCUAGGGAUGGCUUAACAAAACACUCCGUCGGAGGACAUCUGACGAGGGCGUACAUACACCCUCCCCCUACUGCAAGAUGUCACCAAAUUCUCCAUCUCAAGUGAAGAUGAGGAGGAAAAAAUGCCUUGUCAAUUUAUUCACCAAGUAUUUAUCGAGUGGCUGCCAGCACAUGUUCCUGUCUUGCUGUAUUGGCCACUCAUGACCUUUCAAAAAGCCACCAUAACUUCUUGUGCUUGUCAAACCCAGCGGCAUUUCCAGAACCCACGGAAGGUCUCAAUAGCAACUCAAAUUCAUUGAUUAAAAAACUUGCUGGUUCAAAAUAAUUUUUAAAAGGGGAUCGACCAGUGGCACAGCGGUUAAGUUUGCACCUUCCGCUUGAUUCGGGGGGUUCACCGGUUUGGAUGGAGGGUGCAGACCUACACACCGCUUGGUAAGCCAUGCUGUGGCAGGUGUCCCACAUAUAAAGUAGAGGAAGAUGGGCAUGCAUGUUAGCUCAGGGCCAGUCUUCCUCAAAAAAAGAAUUACUAAUAGUAAUAAUAAAAUGGCACCAUGUAAAGCUAUAAAGCCACCAUGACCUGUCUGUGCUUGAUAAAAUGAUUACAAAAUGUUUUAAUAGACUAAUUAUAGAAAUGAUAGUUACAUUUAGGUCCAAACAGCCACCAACUCUAAUUUGAAAAUCAAGUAAAAGGUUCACCUAACCAAAACCAUCCUCCUAGUUCUGCCUUCAAUUUCCACAUCAAUUACUCCUUCCGGAAAAGCUUGAAAGACUAAAGUUAUGUGGGAGGCCGUUAAACCGUGUUUAGAUGCUAAAACUUCCUCUUGAAUUGGAUUAGCAGAUUAUCACAGUGGUUUGCCUUCCUGGAUACAGUUUGGAAUCACCGAGGGAACUGAGAUUUUGUUUCGUUUUUUAGUACACUAGGCCUGCCCCCCCACCCCCUUUUCCCCUGAGAUUCUGAUUCAACUGGUCAGGGGUGCAGCCUUGCGUGGGAAUUUUGUUCAUUGGCCCAGGAGAUCCCGAUGUGCAGCCAGGGUUGAAAACCCAGGGAUUAGUCGGUCACCUAACAGGGCCUGAGGCACUGGGAUGCCAAAGAAGGAAGUUUGAAUGCAGGGAAAGGUCUGAGCAGGUGUUGAAAACUCAAAUGUCCCUAAGGAUUAAAAAGAAGUGACUUAGGCCAGAUGUACAGGGGCAAGUGGGAAGGGCAUCUUACCCUAACAAAGGCAGUCUCAUUUUUCCACACGGGAAAUGCAGGUGGCCAUCAAGUGGGGUUUUUUCAUUUUGUUGUCCUCCCCCGGAGAAGCUGAAAAUCCACACUUAGUAUGAACUCCUCUAAUUUUAAAAUGUUUGCAAUUAAUUUUAAAAAUAUUUUAAAGCUCUAUCAGCUAAGAAAGAAGAGUUUGUAGGCCACAAAGGAUCCCUAGGUCACUGGUUUGUAACAUGUGGUCUGGACAGUUUACGGCUGGCCCUUGCCUGCAGACACUCUGGGA